AGAGUUUGAUCCUGGCUCAGGAUGAACGCUGGCGGCGUGCCUAAUACAUGCAAGUCGAGCGAACAGACAAGGAGCUUGCUCCUUUGACGUUAGCGGCGGACGGGUGAGUAACACGUGGGUAACCUACCUAUAAGACUGGGAUAACUUCGGGGAACCGGAGCUAAUACCGGAUAAUAUUUCGAACCGCAUGGUUCGAUAGUGAAAGAUGGUUUUGCUAUCACUUAUAGAUGGACCCGCGCCGUAUUAGCUAGUUGGUAAGGUAACGGCUUACCAAGGCGACGAUACGUAGCCGACCUGAGAGGGUGAUUGGCCACACUGGAACUGAGACACGGUCCAGACUCCUACGGGAGGCAGCAGUAGGGAAUCUUCCGCAAUGGGCGAAAGCCUGACGGAGCAAUGCCGCGUGAGUGAUGAAGGUCUUCGGAUCGUAAAACUCUGUUAUUAGGGAAGAACAUACGUGUAAGUAACUAUGCACGUCUUGACGGUACCUAAUCAGAAAGCCACGGCUAACUACGUGCCAGCAGCCGCGGUAAUACGUAGGUGGCAAGCGUUAUCCGGAAUUAUUGGGCGUAAAGCGCGCGUAGGCGGUUUUUUAAGUCUGAUGUGAAAGCCCACGGCUCAACCGUGGAGGGUCAUUGGAAACUGGAAAACUUGAGUGCAGAAGAGGAAAGUGGAAUUCCAUGUGUAGCGGUGAAAUGCGCAGAGAUAUGGAGGAACACCAGUGGCGAAGGCGACUUUCUGGUCUGUAACUGACGCUGAUGUGCGAAAGCGUGGGGAUCAAACAGGAUUAGAUACCCUGGUAGUCCACGCCGUAAACGAUGAGUGCUAAGUGUUAGGGGGUUUCCGCCCCUUAGUGCUGCAGCUAACGCAUUAAGCACUCCGCCUGGGGAGUACGACCGCAAGGUUGAAACUCAAAGGAAUUGACGG
rnacentral:rRNA from 1 species